rnacentral:rRNA from 1 species
GACGAACGCUGGCGGCGUGCUUAACACAUGCCAGUCGAACGGAAAGGCCCCUUUGGGGGUACUCGAGUGGCGAACGGGUGCGUAACACGUGAGUAACCUGCCCUUGACUUCGGGAUAACUUCAGGAAACUGGGGCUAAUACCGGAUAGGAAUCCUUGCUGCAUGGUGGGGGUUGGAAAGCUUCGGCGGUUUUGGAUGGACUCGCGGCUUAUCAGCUUGUUGGUGGGGUAGUGGCUUACCAAGGCUUUGACGGGUAGCCGGCCUGAGAGGGCGACCGGCCACAUUGGGACUGAGAUACGGCCCAGACUCCUACGGGAGGCAGCAGUGGGGAAUAUUGCACAAUGGGCGGAUGCCUGAUGCAGCAACGCCGCGGGCGGGAGGACGGCCUUCGGGUUGUAAACCGCUUUCAGCAGGGGCGAAGCUUGUGGUGACGGUACCUGCAGAAGAAGCACCGGCUAACUACGUG